GGAUGGAUGGCCGAGCUGGUUUAAGGCGUCAGGGUAAGGUUAAUAUCUUUACCAUACUUUCCUGAUCUCUUCGGAGGCGCGAGUUCGAAUCUCGUUCCAUUCA
rfam:Lodderomyces elongisporus NRRL YB-4239 supercont1.1 genomic scaffold, whole genome shotgun sequence.